AUUCAAGUAUAUUUAGACUAUUGCCUAAAUUUUAAUACAUGAAACUAAUGAGAUGUGACCAGAAUAGAUGGAAAAAGUUACUUUUUUUUUUUUUCUUUUAGCAGCUUCUCAUUUCAGUUUAGAUGUAUUUUCUGGAAUCUGAUGAGAUAGCCUAGCCUGUGAGCAUGAAGCAUGCUGUGCCUCUCAGUUAACAGAGGAAAAGAGCAAACAGCCAUUGUGGAAAAUAAAGAGCUGAUUUCCAUAAUGAAAAUUGCUACCUUUUCGCUUGUAUUGGUUUUGUUCAUUGACGCAGCAAUCUCUCACCUUGGCAAACAAGAGAAUGUUAUUCUUAUUUGAAUCAGUGAAUGAAGCUCCCUGUUUAAACAAGGAGGACAGGCUCAUUGCCAAGGCUGCCCGAGACUACAAAUUUGCAAAGGAGCUGAUGUGCGCGUCUUACAAGCCCAUCCCCACGUCACUGCCUCUGAGCGAUGCUGGGGAAGAAACAGGACUAACCCACCACCUCCCUUCACCUUGGAGAGGGGGAAAUGGGCCUCUGUUGAUAAGGUUCCCAAGAGACUGCCCCCUCCCCGUGCAGUGGGGAGAAGCCAACACCAUUGAAGCAACGCCCCGCCGGCUGAGAAAUGGAAAAUUAAUAUCACGCAGCCAAACAAACAAGCACACUACUUUCUACGAUCUGCCCUAAAGACAUUUCCACGCAGGCAUCUGGUUACUACUAAACCAUCAUCGCAACAGGAGAUAGAUUCCAAGGGUGACGGUACUUGAAAAAGCCCCCAAGUAGCGGUUUCGUGCCAGCAGACAAAGGACUGAGUUGAAUAACGGAGUUCAGUCAAUCGCCCAUCGGAGCAGGGACCCGGAGGUCCCCGCCCCGCCAGGUUGGAGCGGAUCAGAACAUAUCCCUAAUUCUCUAGAGUUCCCACGGUGACAGUUUUCAUUGUCCCUGUCUUAGCUGGGGUGGCUGUAACAAAAUGCCGUAGCCUGGGCGGCCUGAACAACAGACGUUUGUCUCUCACAGUUCUGGAAGCUGAAGGCCUGAGGUUGGGGGCCAGCACGGUCGGGCUCCGAUGAGGGCCCUCUCUCGGGCUGCAGGCGGCCGCCUUCUCCGUGUCCCCACAUGGCAGAGGGACAGAGGAAGACCCUGAUGCCUUCCUCUUCUUAUAAAAACACUAAUCUCAUUGUCUGACCCCGCCCUCAGGACCUCAUCUAAACCCGAUCACUUCCCAAAGGCCCCGCCUCCUAAUACAUUCAUCCUGGGAGUUAGGGCUUCAGUAUAUGAAUUUUGUAGGGACGCAAACGUUCAGUCUGUAGCAGGACCUUUACACCUCAAUGCUGCUUUUCUCUGUGGCCAGAGCUCCCGCCAUCAGUGGAGACCCCAGAGAGCCUCCGAUUAGACUCUCCUGAACCAAUGCCUUUGAUUCCUGGCUCUUUCUUGACACACACCCGUGAGGAGUCCUGUUUCCUUGGUCUCUGGAUGAAGCCUGUCCCUGGAACUGUGGGCACGCCAAGAGGCUUUAGUCUUCCGUCCGAUUAUCCCUGACGUCUUCCGCAGCCGGUGGGGGGGGGCGUCCACUCUCUGGGCUCUGAGGUCAAGGUCAGCGCUUGCCUUCCCGCCUCCGUCAGAGCCUGUCCCACCAGGCCCUGCACAUCACAAAGGGCGUCGUAUCGGCCAGGGACUUUAGCGAGCUUUCCCCUUAGUGCCCAGGGAAUCUGAGUGUACCCUGAGGGUGAAGAGAAAUAGACUUCUCUCACAAGUGAUCUCUACAAUCAUCUUCUAGGCUCAGGUGAGGAAACACGGUUUUAAUAUUUCUUCUGAAAAUUCCUCUCUUUGUCUUCUUUUAGCCUCUGUUUUUCUCUCUCCCCCCACGAGGAUUCUAAUCAGAGUUUAACACGGUCAUUACAGUUGUUAUAAUUUUGCUUUUGUAUUUCUAAGGCAUAAUGUUAAAAUUACCAAACAUGUGCAUCUUGGCACCUCCAUAAGCAGUAAUAUACCCUCAGCUUAGGAUUUAUGCGGUUAGUUUAGUCGUGUCCCAU